rnacentral:misc_RNA from 1 species
CUGAGUGAGGGCCUUCGGGCUCGACCUCCAACCCUUUGUGAACACCAACUUGUUGCUUCGGGGGCGACCCUGCCGUUUCGACGGCGAGCGCCCCCGGAGACCAUCAAACACUGCAUCUUUGCGUCGGAGUUUAAGUAAAUUAAUCA